UACGUAGGGUGCAAGCGUUAAUCGGAAUUACUGGGCGUAAAGCGUGCGCAGGCGGUCAUGCAAGUCAGAUGCGAAAUCCCCGGGCUCAACCUGGGAACUGCAUUUGUGACUGCAUGGCUGGAGUGCGGCAGAGGGGGAUGGAAUUCCGCGUGUAGCAGUGAAAUGCGUAGAUAUGCGGAGGAACACCGAUGGCGAUGGCAAUCCCCUGGGCCUGCACUGACGCUCAUGCACGAAAGCGUGGGGAGCAAACAGG
rnacentral:rRNA from 1 species